CAACCCCAGCCCCGGAACGUGCGGAACAUACGUUCUGCCCACCCUUUCCACGGUUGGAGCUAUUUUCAAGGACGCAGCUUGAGGUGUUGAGCCCAUCUCUACCGCUUAGGUGGCUGAACCCAGAGUGGAAAGAGCAGGGGUUUUGAAGCCAGACAGACUGUCCACUUUACCUGGACAUAAUGGGUUUGGUGAGAGUUAACUGUAAAGCACGUGGAAUUGCUCAAAGCAAACAGUAGCAGAGAAACCUAGUUGCUUCAUCUCUCUCUCUGCUGCUGCUGCUGCUGCUAAGUGGCUUUAGUCGUGUCCGACUCUGUGCGACUCCAUAGAUGGCAGCCCACCAGGCUCCCCCGUCUCUGGGAUUCUCCAGGCAAGAACACUGGAGUGGGUUGCCAUUUCCUUCUCCAGUGCAUGAAAGUGAAAAGUGAAAGUGAAGUCACUCAGUCGUGUCUGACUCUUCGCGACCCCAUGGACUGCAGCCCACCAGGCUCCUCCAUCCAUGGGAUUUUCCAGGCAAGAGUACUGGAGUGGGGUGCCAUUGUCUUUUCCGUUUCUCUCUCUACUCCCAUUAUUUGGUCCUACAAAUGCCAGGCUGACUUUCAAAGGAGGUCUGCUGAGUUCAAGUUCCAGUUAUCUAAUGUCUCUAUUAUAUUUCCUCAUGACAUGUAUAGUUUGGGAAACUCACAGUUACUUUUUGAGGUUUGGUUCCCCCCACCCACCCACAACUGACUGGCAGGAUUGGGAGGAGAUGGCAGCACCUGGUUAUAUGCCUCAUAUCCCUAACUAACCCGCUGGCCAGAAUAUAAGCUUGUUCAUAAUGAGGUGUUCUGAGACCCCUGUCCCUCCAGGCACCCACCCGCAGACACUCCGGUCACAAUUAUGAAACUCAACUAGGCUAUGAGUUUCCAGCUUUCUUCUGAGAUAAAGCUAAUUAAGCAACAGCAAUAGAGAAAGCAGUCUUUUUCUUUUUUUCCAGAACUUAUCUCUUAAUUAAAACCAUUCCCAUUUUCUAGAUAAAUGAGUUGAACCUGUUGAUGAAGGUGUGCGCCUGCUCUUAAAAGUGUGGGAAUUACCAUCUUAAGCAGUUGCUCUAUUUCUUUGGUGUUAAAGCAUAGCUACUUAACCUCCUUUAUCACAACAUGAAGUUGAGUACACUCCAGCCAGCACAGGCGCUUUCAAAGGAGAGUUUCAGCUUGAAUCAUGACUCCCCCAGGCUCAAUUCUUUUGGUAUUAGCAGCUUAAAUGUGCACAGCACAGAGAGAAGCUUUGUCUGGGGCUUGGAAAAGAGUAAAUCAUUCAGCAUCUUUAAAAUGUCCAGAAUAGUUGAAUAAAGGCAACUGCACUGCAACUUGCUAAUGUAAAAUAUUAGGUGCACCCUAAGUAACAACAACAGCUUGGAGGGACUCUAAUCAUCCACUUUAAUUUUGUUGCUGACACCUGGCAACAUUUGGAAUUAUAAAUGGAGUAGCAGGAAGGAAGGAAAGAAGCCAAAGAGAUUUUCUGUUGCUGUCUCAACCCAUAGAAUGAGAAGGUCGUGAAAGAAAGAGAAAAAAUAAAAAUUGCCUCUGGAAAAGAAUUAGGGGUCCGUUCUACUGAAUAAUGGUUGCUGCAGGGCCUAGUGGAGUAUGUUGUACUUAAAGCACUCUGAAUUCUAGUUGGAUUUGCAAGACUUCUCCUAAUUAUGGGUG
ensembl:lncRNA